rnacentral:rRNA from 1 species
UUCCCCUAGUAACUGCGAGUGAAGCGGGAAAAGCUCAAAUUUAAAAUCUGGUAGUCUUUGGCUGCCCGAGUUGUAAUCUAGAGAAGUGUUAUCCGCGCUGGGCCGUGUAUAAGUCUCCUGGAAUGGAGCGUCAUAGAGGGUGAGAAUCCCGUCUUUGACACGGACUACCAGGGCUUUGUGAUACACUCUCAAAGAGUCGAGUUGUUUGGGAAUGCAGCUCUAAAUGGGUGGUAAGUUCCAUCUAAAGCUAAAUAUUGGCGAGAGACCGAUAGCGAACAAGUACCGUGAGGGAAAGAUGAAAAGAACUUUGGAAAGAGAGUUAAACAGUACGUGAAAUUGUUGAAAGGGAAACGCUUAAAGUCAGUCGCAUUAGCUGGGGAUCAACCUUGCUUCUGCUUGGUGUAUUUCCUGGUUGAUGGGUCAGCAUCAAUUUUGACCAAUGGAAAAAGGCUAAGGGAAUGUGGCAUCUCCGGAUGUGUUAUAGCCCUUGGUUGCAUACGUUGGUUGGGAUUGAGGAACUCAGCACGCCGCAAGGCCGGGUUUUUAACCACGUUCGUGCUUAGGAUGCUGGCAUAAUGGCUUUAAUCGACCCGUCUUGAAACACGGACCAAGGAGUCUAACAUACCUGCGAGUGUUUGGGUGGAAAACUCAAGCGCGUAAUGAAAGUGAAAGUUGGGAUCCCUGUCGUGGGGAGCACCGACGCCCGGACCAGACCUUCUGUGACGGAUCCGCGGUAGAG